rnacentral:rRNA from 1 species
AUUGAACGCUGGCGGCAGGCCUAACACAUGCAAGUCGAGCGGAGCGGCGGACGGGUGAGUAAUGCCUAGGAAUCUGCCUGGUAGUGGGGGAUAACGUCCGGAAACGGGCGCUAAUACCGCAUACUAUCAGAUGACCCUAGUUCGGAUUAGCUAGCUGGUGGGGUAAGGGCUAACCAAGGCGACGAUCCGUAACUGGUCUGAGAGGAUGAUCAGUCACACUGGAACUGAGACACGGUCCAGACUCCUACGGGAGGCAGCAGGGGGGAAUAUUGGACAAUGGGCGAAAGCCUGAUCCAGCCAUGCCGCGUGUGUGAAGAAGGUCUUCGGAUUGUAAAGCACUUUAAGUUGGGAGGCGUUACCAACAGAAUAAGCACCGGCUAACUCCGUGCCAGCAGCCGCGGUAAUAC